rnacentral:rRNA from 1 species
UACGUAGGGGGCAAGCGUUGUCCGGAAUUAUUGGGCGUAAAGAGCGCGUAGGCGGUCCGAUAAGUCGGCUGUGAAAGUCAGGGGCUCAACCCUUGGAAGCCGGCCGAUACUGUCGGACUAGAGUCCGGAAGAGGCGAGUGGAAUUCCCGGUGUAGCGGUGAAAUGCGCAGAUAUCGGGAGGAACACCGGUGGCGAAGGCGGUUCUCUGGGUCUGACCUGACGCUGAGGAGCGAAAGCGUGGGGAGCGAACAGG